rnacentral:rRNA from 1 species
UACAGAGGUGGCGAGCGUUGUUCGGAUUUACUGGGCGUAAAGCGUGCGUAGGCGGUGCCGUGUGUCGGAUGUGAAAUCUCCGGGCUCAACCCGGAAAGUGCGUCCGAAACUGCGGCGCUGGAGCGGAGGAGAGGGGAGCGGAAUUCAAGGUGUAGCGGUAAAAUGCGUUGAUAUCUUGAAGAACACCGGUGGCGAAGGCGGCUCCCUGGAAUCCCGCUGACGCUGAGGCACGAAAGUCGGGGGAGCAAAC